CUUUUUUUUUUUUUUUUUUUUUUUUUUUUUUUUUUUUUUUUUUUUUUUUUUUUUUUUUUUUUUUUUUUUUUUUUUUUUUUUUUUUUUUUUUUUUUUUUUUUUUUUUUUUUUUUUUUUUUUUUUUUUUUUUUUUUUUUUUUUUUUUUUUUUUUUUUUUUUUUUUUUUUUUUUUUUUUUUUUUUAUUUUUUUUCUUUUUUUUUUAUUGUCUGUUUUUUUCUUUUAUCCUGUUUUUCUUCCUUUUCAAGAUCUUGAAAAGAGAGAGAAAAUGAGAGAGAGAGAAUGAGAAAGAGAAAACGAGGGAAAGAGAAUGAGAGCAAGAGAGAGAGAGAGGAGGAGAAAUUUUUGGAGUUUUUUUAUUUUUAGUGGCUUUGAUAUUGAAAAUACUAUAUAAAGAAUUUUAGAUGAAAUCAGUCAGUUGAUACAAUUAUUGUUGUUAUGUGCUAUUAUCGUAUGAUAAGCGGGUGGGGCUUUUCUUGUUUUCGUAAACAUCAAGAUUUUAUUGGUUGGGUCUAUGAUUCCAGCCUACAUGAUACUCAAAAGGGCCCUGGUUCAUCUGGAAAUGAAAAGUGCUUUAUGAACGUUUGGAUUGGUGCUUCCUUGACUCGGUUUGGUAACUUCAAUUUCUACCCACCUAUAUCGUGUUAAGUCGGAUCACCGACCUAUUUUCAUGGUUGCGACCAAGCUCAAGAAGUCAAAUCUUCCUCAUACCUUUCGCUUUAUGGCUUCAUGGUUGUCACAUGUUGAGUUUAAGCCUUUUUUUGUCGGAAUGGAAUCGGUCUUUUACCUUUAUUCAUCAGAUGUCCAUUCGAGCUACCAAACUGAAAAAAUGAAAUAAGGAAAUUUUUGGCAACAUCCAAACGAAUAGAAGGAGCUUAUCUUUAAACUUGCUGAUGUUUAAGCUCUCGCAGCUCCUCUACUCAUUCAAGACACCACAAUGGACAUUGCAAGUGACCGGAAUACUCAUUUUUUUCACGUAUCCACCUUCCGUAGGCGUGCUCGGAACCACAUUAUUAAGUGAAGGAUGACUGUGGGGUGUGUAUUCAUUAGGUUUGGGAGUCGGUUAAUUUGGUUAAUAACCAUCGGUUAAUGGUCGGGAAGCGCUUUGAUGAUUGAAAUUAAUUAACCAAAUUAACCGACCGAGCAAAAGCCACGGUUAAUCUUACCGACCGAUAACCGACCAAUCAGUUAAAUGAUCGAUUAUUAACAGACUGACUCUCGGUUAACCGUUGUAACCGGCUCUGACCAAUUUAACUCUCUUCUCAUAUUGCAACAAGAUUCUAGGCUCUGGCUCUAGAUCCGUCGUCGAUUCAAGCCUUGGAGACCAUAGCUUCUCUUCUGGAAACAAUCCGGUGCUCUACAACUUGAUCCUUCGGGACUGGAAGCUUUCCGAGACGGCGUUGUUGCGGAUCAGUAAGGAGAGGAGGAAGCUUCAAGCCUAUGGUGUUGCAGAUCGAAGAAUUGAGAGAGUGGAGGAGGAGAGGAUUGGCCGUGGCGACGAAGGAAGCAUGUGGUGUUGCAGAUCGAAGAAUCGAGAGAGUGGAGGAGGAGAGGAGCGCUUGCGGUGACUCGUCGUGGUCGUCGUCGUGACUGCCGGCGAGAUGCUGAAAUUGAAUCGCUUGGAUUGAUAGAGUUGUCGAGAUGGAUUGAUGGAGUUGUCGAGAUGGAUUGAUGGAGAUGGCUCGGAGUUAACCUAAUUUCAGAAUGAGAGGUUGUGAUGGAGUGGGAGGCUGGGAGGGGAGGGAGCGAUUCUGCGAUUGUGGUGAGCAAAGCUUGAUUUCCUAAUUGGGGACCUUGGUUUUUUUAAUUACCGGUUAACGUUGGUUAACUCGAGUUAACCAACGAUUUUACCCUGCUCCAACAAGUACUCCCAACUGUUCCCCGACCGACCCCUACCUCGGUUAAACCGACACUCUAACCGAGUCGAUCAGUUCAUCUGUUUAACCUAUUAACCGAGACUGAUGGCCCACCCUUAGUAUUCAUCCAGCUUGUUGCUGCAAUUAGUGUCGUAUUGAUAUGGUUGAGAGAGGAUAAAAUAUGCUUGAUUUCAAGUUCUCCAACUUGAAAGGUUUAGCUGUUAAAAAUGUAGAGGUCAUGACUGAGUACUGAUUUCCAGCAAGGAGAAGUUGGAUAUUUGCUUGCGAUAAAAAAGAAUUUGGACAGUCUAUCUUAGGCACAAAAUCUAACGGAUGAGAUGGCAACUUUACUUCAGGGGCCUAUUGGUCAUUUUAAAAUUUUCUUGUUUUUCAGUUUAUUUUUCCAUUCUGUUUAAUAUUGGUUCAAGUAAAAUGAUUUCUUGUAAAUUGGGUCUAUUGAGUAACGUGGGUGGGUAGACUUUAUUGCUCCCAUCGAGCUUGACGUGAUAUUUUCUUCUUCGUUUCUUUAACAUGCAUAAAUUGUAUAUAAUACGAAAGGUUGGAAAUAUAUGUGAAGCUCGAGGUUUAUUAUAUAUGUUUCGAGGUUUAUUAUAUAUGUUGAACCUUUUUGCCAAUUGGUUAUUUUUAUCAUGUAGUGCCUUAUCAAGUAAAGGGAAUGGUUGUUUUUAUCUACUGUCACUAGCCAACUUUCUUUCUCAUGUGAUCAAUUAUUUGAUCACGCAUGAAUGACUACAGUACACAAAAGAUAGAAAUAUUAUAAAAACAAAAAACAAAUAUUAAAAAAAAAUACCUAAAAAGCAGGUACAUAACAACAAAAACAAUAACCGUAAAUAUCAAGUACAUGAAAGCGGAUGCUCAAAAUAAGCACGCACACAUUAAAAACUUUGGUACAUACAAGGCAAGAAAAUCGAGAACAUAUUGGAACUCGAGUACCGGAAUUGGUACGGUAUUAAGUACAACGUGAAGAAAUAUCAAGUACAUUAAAAAGCGAGUAUAUAACAAUAGAAAUAAGUACACGAAAACAACUCAGAGAAAUGAUAAUUUGAUUGCCAAAAUUGAGUAUGAUAAAGUAAAAUGCAAGCACGUAGUACAUGAAACAAAUAUGAGUAAGAGUACAUAAAUUUUUUAGUACAAUACAAGACAAAAACUCAAAUACAUAUAAAAACUGGACACUAAAAAAAAUAAUUAAUUAUUCACAAUUUUAAAUAAUAAUAGUCACGAUUUUUAUCAUGAUUAACAGAAGCUAGUCACGAAAAUAAAUCCGUAACUAACCUAACCGAUGCUAGAUGAACUUGUCACGAAUCUGAAUAACCUGUAACUAAGUUGUCACCGAAAUUUUCCGUGACCAACUCAUCACGGAAGAAACCGUGAACAUAUGUGUUUUUGUUUUUGUUUUUUAAAUUAGUGGCACGGAGCCAUAUGCUGUGAUAAUUGAUUUAUUAAUAAAUUAAUCCCACAUCUCCGUGGCUACUAUAUCACCAGAAUUUCCAGAUUCCGGCAACCACAAUUUCCAGAAUCCGGCAAUAAGAUAGAGUUGAUAAUUGCUUUUUUAUUAGAGUAAAAUGUUCUACAUCUAUACAUUAUGAUACCCAUAUCAAAAUUCCAGAAUCCCAAAAUUGAACAUAACGUCAACGAAAGGCACCAUGCAACAAUGGUGACACUAAGGGUUACAACAACCAGCAAAACCGAAACACAGACUGGAAAUGCUACCAAGAGAAGGAUGAGACUAGAUGAUGAGAUUGAGAUUGAGAGAAGAAAAAUGAUAGUAAGAAAUUUUGUUUUCGAGAGAGAUCAAAUGAAGAUGAGAUCUACUUCUAAUUUAAUAUAAUGGAAAUGGAGAUAUGGUUGUUUAAUGGCAAAGAGAGAAGAAAGGAAUAGCCCAUUAAACGAGGAUAGAGUCUGCAUCAUUUCUUUUUUCGACCUUUUCCCACUAAAAUGCUAAUUUUAAAAUUAUAAAUAAAAGUUGGUCACGGUUCCAACAUUUACCGUGAGUAGUUGGUCGCGGUAUUCAACAAUCCAUGACUAGUUAUGGAUUUUUUUUUAUCUAUAAGUAGUUAGUCAUGGUUUUUAAAGCCGUGAUUAAUAAAUCGUGAUUAAUCGUUGAUUUUUUUUGUAGUGCGAGUAUGAGUAUUGAGUAAAACGUCAUGUACAAAAACAAGUACAUCAAAAGCGAGUACAUAAUUAUCAAAACAAGUACUAAAACGAGAGGAAAAGUACAUAAAAAGCGAGUAUAUAAUAAUAGAAACAAGUGCAGUAAAAAUCAAGUGCAUGAAAGGAAAACGAAACUCAAACUAAACACUAAUACAAAAAAAACUUUAGUACGCAAAUAAGUAAAUACAAGAAAAUUAACAUACACAAACGAAUACAUAAGAGUAUAGUGUUUAAACAAAGCGAUUAUACGGAUCAAUACGAUGUUGAGUACAAAACAACAACUUGAGGCUUUAUCCCUCAUUUUUAGAUGAUUUUGUACUAAGUUCUUAUAUGUAUUAGUUUUUAUUAAUGUAAUCCCUCGUGUACUUUGUCUUUGGAUUUAUUUUUAUGCCAUAUCUAUUUAUUUACGCAUUUGUGUAUACUUAUAUUUUUAGAACUUUAUACUCAAAUCAAUUAAUCAAACAAUAAAACUAUUUUCUCUUUACACGAACCAACAUAAUAACCCAUCACCCCAUACAGGGUUGUGAAGGAGGUGCAGUGACCAGAAUUUUCUAGUUGUUGCUUUUCUAUAGUUUGAUAAGGGUAAGCAUCUUGUUCUAGAAUAUAUGUUGUUAGGUUAUAACAAUGCAUCUAGUUGAGCAUGAUUCUUUGGUCAAGUGUUACUGGGAUUCUUUUUGUUCCACAUCAAUGCUCGGAGGUCGAAGAGGCAACGAGGGUGACGAAGAAAUCGGCAUCACCACGUGAGAGAAGAUGAAGAAGAGGUCAGAGAGUGGAGCCGGUGGAAAAGAUAUACUAGAAGAGGUACUUAAAGUUACUUGUACGACAAAACUGCCCUUAUUCAAUUGGACAACCCCUAGAUUAAAAUUUAAAAAUGAACGGACGCGAUUCGUUUGCGGCCAGCAAACACAUAAUAUCAUGGCUGCCUAUCCGGACUCGUCAUAACUGGCGUCAACAUUACGUAGUGUUGUCAAAAAUUAAAAAGGGGAAUAUAUAAUAAUAAUAAUAACAGACGUAAUCUUGUGUAUAUAAUGAUAUUAAAACGUUUUUCAAUCGACAAAGCCAAGUCUGCGGGAGGAACAGCUAAUGGACGAACAGCCUAAGCAUAAGCCGCCUUCUUCGUAUUCUUCAGAUUCUCUGAAUCUCUACCCUUUUUUUUUGUUACGCGGAUUCCCUUCCCUCGUCUGCAAACAAAAAGCUCUUCGUUGACUUUUUAGCAGGCUUUUUUAAAAAACCUUAAUUGAAAAAAUUUGUACAUGGUUGUUGCCUUUGUUGGCGUCAGCAUGACCCAAUGCUGUUGUCAUGUUCAUGAUUGCUCCAACUCACCUGGCUGCGCAUCUGCCUUCUGACCUGACCUGCCCUCCUCCUUUUUUUUAAAUUAUGUUUCCCCAAAAUUAAAUUUAAAUCGUUACAAAAUUGGUCUCUCCUUCUCCUAUAUAUAACGUGGAAGAGCUCCUGCCAAAAAAGUCAUUCAAACUCAAAGCAGAUAAAUUAUCAAAAUAAAAAAGAAAACCCCAGUGCUCUGCCUGCCGUUAAGAAAUUAGUUUAUUGGGUUUGUUGUGUUUAUGAAAGCUGUGUUCCAGAGACUGAUAUCGUCAAGCACCCAGAUUGGCUGUAGGAAGAAAGUUGCAUCUUUUCCAUUAAUCAGAAGCGCUAAUAUGUCUGAAUCCUCUGCCUUUGAUUCUCCGAGAUUGGUGACCAAGAAGGUCCUUGCUAAGCUUCAGCGUGAAGGGGAUGGUGCUUCUGUCAGGAGAAGCAUUGGAAGGUAUAAUAUAAUAUAUCAUGGAUGGAUGGAUGGAUAUACAAUUUUCUUCUUGUCAAAAUUGAAUUAACUGUUUUCGUUUCUGUGGUGAAAUUGAAUGAUUGAAUGUUGAAUUAUUUUGGUUCAGGAGUGAGCUCAGGUCUCUGGACCCUUUCCUCAUGUUGGAUGAGUUUUCAGGUCUGCUUUGCUUAAUUACUUGAAACCAAAUUCCUUGAUAUUUUCUAGAAUUAGGAUGAUGAUGGAUGAUGGAUGGUAUUUAAUUUGUUGUUGCAAAUUGCAAUGCAUGAAGUCUCAGCUCCUGCUGGAUUUCCUGAUCAUCCACACAGAGGUUUUGAGACUGUUACAUACAUGCUGGAGGUACAGACAGUACUGGAGUUAAUUAUUUAUUAUGAAUUGAAGGCUGUUUUUUGUCCUUGGUAGUCUAUUUAUUGAUGUCUGUGAAAUUCGUGGGUGGCACUGGCAGGGAUCAUUCACUCAUCAAGAUUUUUCUGGGCAUAGAGGGACUAUUCAUGCCGGGGAUGUUCAAGUAAAAUAAUUCACUCAAUUACAAUACUACGACGUUUACUUAAUUAGCUAGCUUUACUUGAUCAAAGUCAAAAACUCUUUCUUUUUUUAAAGUAAACAACAACAACAACUUGUGUGUUUUCCUGUUGGGCAGUGGAUGACAGCAGGUAGAGGGAUAGUCCAUUCAGAAAUGCCUGCAGGAGAAGGAGUCCAGAGAGGCCUUCAGCUUUGGAUAAACCUCUCUUCUCAACAUAAAAUGUAUGUUUUUAUUUCCUUUUUUGUUUGUACUUUCCAACUUCACCAUUCCAACAGUUUGUAAUAUGGAACCAACAGGAUUGAGCCAAGGUAUCAGGAACUUCUGAGGCAGGACAUCAAAAGAGCAGAGAAAGACGGGGUUGAAGUCCGAAUCAUAGCAGGGGAAUCAAUGGAAAUCGAGUCUCCAGUUUAUACAAGGACCCCAACAAUGUACCUUGAUUUCACACUGCAACCAAGGUCCCAAAUGCACCAGCCCAUUCCAGAAUUAUGGAACGCAUUCAUUUACGUCAUUGAAGGUGAGGGAGUGUUUGGGAUCCCAAACUCCUCACCAGUUGAAGCACAUCAUACACUCGUUCUAGGCCCUGGUGAAGGAAUGAGCGCCUGGAACAACUCCUCUUCCAAACCCUUGAGGUUUGUCUUGAUUGCAGGCCAGCCACUUAACCAACCAGUGGUGCAGCAUGGUCCUUUUGUCAUGAACACAGAAUCUGAAAUCCACCAAGCAAUUGAAGAUUACCACUACUCCAAAAAUGGGUUUGAAAUGGCGCAGUAUUGGAGUUCCCAAUAGGGAACAAGUAAGUGCUUGGAUCACUCAAAACCAAAUCUCCACAUUCCCUCUCAACUUUGAAGAAGAAAAGAGUAAAGAAUAAAAAUACACAUCCACAAACACUAAAGGCCACACGCAUAUGUGAGUGAUACUCAUUUGUGUUCCAUCAUGUAUUAAUUUAGCUUUUAUCCUCUUCCAACCUUUUACUAUUCCAAAUCAAAAGGUUGAUUAUUGCAUUGUCACACAAAACAAUGAUAAUAAAAAUACUCAAUUCAUAUAAUCCUUAGAAUUAAUUCUUUUCAUAACUAUAGUAGAUGUUUGAACAAGUGAGAACAAAAUAUAAGCUUAAUCUUAAUAGUAAUAUCAACGGAUAAUAGCACUGUGUGUCACUUAAUUAUUACCCAUGUCGCACAUAAACUACUUAACUUUCUACAUUGCACAUAAAGCCACUUAACUUUGCUUAUGCUUGCAACAUCCAAAUUUUCAUUCAAUUUAUGGAUAGACUGAUCGAAUUGAUGAGUUCUUAUUCGAGAUCUUCUGUAUGAAUAACCUCCAACACAUUAAAGAGAACAAUAAUUUAUAAGAACUGACAGAAUAACUUAUUACUUGUUUACAGAAAAGAAUGAUAAAAUAAAAAGGCAAGAAUAGAUUAUAAUCAUGCCUUGGACACUGCUUUCGAAAAAAUAUUUCCCGAAUUUAGAACACCAAUACAACUAAAGGUUAAUCACAAUAUUCACUCAAACUCUAGUGUAGGGCUUGAAUGUUGGAACUUGGAAACUUAUGCUAUUUUGAUUCCGAUUUUGAGAGUGAAAACAAAGUUUUCUGCCCAUAUUAAUCAACUAGGAUUUCCCUUUUUAAAGAGAACGCAUCCACUAACCAACAUCAAAUCCAGAUUCUCCUUUCUGAUGAUCAUCAAUGAUAAGCAGAUAUGGGGAAGGUGGAGUUGAGCUCCCGAUUUCUAGGAAGCCAACCAAAUACUUCUGUUAAGCAUAAGUCUUGAGUAUAUGCGGUAUGUAACUGAUCAUUACUGUUACUUCAAGUGGUUAGAUAAUGGUUACAUCAUCUUGCUGUUGUCCGUUGAUGACAUGUUGAUAGCAAGUUCUAUUGUAAAAGAAGUAAACAAGUUGAAGAAACAGUUAUCUAACAGUUUACUAUUAAGAAUAUAGGAGACGCUAAACAGAUUUUGAGUAUGUGCAUUGAUCAUGAUAGGCAAGUAGGAAAGUUUUAUCUUUCGCAAGUUGAAUAUAUCAAGAAAGUCUUGAAGAGGUUCAAAAUGCAGGAUGCAAAACUAGUAAAGAUUCCUUUGGGUGGCUAUUUCAAGCUAUUUGAGAAGGAUAUGCCUAAUAAUGAUCCAGAACGUGCCCAAAUGCACGAAACACCAUACAUUUUUGUAAUUGAUAGCUUGAUGUAUGGAAUGGUGUGCACAAUACCAGAAAUUGCACAUGUAGUGGGAGUUGUCAAUAGAUUCAUGGGAAAUCGGGGGGAAGCGAUUAAGUACUCCUGAGAUAGUUGAAGAUUACUACUAAAAGGGUCUUGGGCUUUGAGGGCAAAGUAAUGUAGUUAGAAGGAUUUGUCAUCAAGUGACCUUGAUAGAAGAAGAUGUACAACAUGGUAUAUUUUUACUCUUUGAGGUACCAUGGUUUCUUGGGCUUUUAAGUUGCACUGUCUAACACUCAAGCUAAAUAUGUUGCGGUAACGAAGGCCAGCAAAGAGAUGGUAUGGUUUUAGAAUUUCUUUGGUGAAUUGGGGAAGAAGAAAGAGGAUAGCAUAUUGUACAUUAGUCUUAUACACUUGCAAAAAAUUCAGCAUUUCAUUCAAAAUCGAAGCUCAUAUUGAGUUGAUGUAUCACUUUAUGGGUUGAUCUCUUGGAAAGGAAGAUCUUACGGCUUAUGAAGAUUCUAGGAAGUGAGAAUCCUAUGGAUAUGCCGACUAAGGUUGUAAAGUUGGAGAAGUUGACACUGUGUAUGACUUUAACUGGUUUUGUAACUGAAGUUGAAGGUCAGAUGCUGCUUGUAGUAGGAAGACGUUGAACAUGGAGAACCAAUGAGAGGAGUAUGUCUUCAGGUGGGAGAUUGUUGGGUUAUGGUGCCUAAGAAACUGAAGGCUUGGUCCAGUUAGUUUGUUUAGUUAGAUAAAAAUUAAGAUUAAUCUUGUCUAUUCUAUAUAGGAUUAGAAUUAAUAUGGUAGCUCCCUAUAAAUAAUCUAUAUUCAUAUCAUUGUAAUCUGUAUCACAACAAUAGUAGUCGAAAUCCUAACUUGGUUUGUAAAAAAAGAAAUUCUAGCGUGGUAGCGCCCUAGACAUACUCUUCUCGUGAAGAGGAACUAGGUUCUUAAUUUUUCAGUUUAUGAUUGCGUUUCAUUUUUUACAGGAACGACCAGAUCCAGCUCAGAAACUUCCUCAAGAUGGCGACGUUGAAGAAGCUCUGUCUCGCUAACGCCUAACAAUGGCUUCUCUAGACUGAUUCAGACUGUCCUCACCGCUGGAAAAGGAGAUUAGAUAGAAAUCCAUCUUUUAUUCCUCUUCAUUGUUUUUAUGACAAUUUCUUCUUUUCUUUUAUAAUAGAGAACUAUUUAUCACUUUUGUUGGACAUUUCUUGUUUGUUUCCCUCAAGAACUAAUAAUUUUGGUCAAUGGGUGACCACUGAUGAUGUUGAUUCUAUAAGCUUUAGUAUUUAGUCAAAUUCUUGAGUUUUUUUCAACUAGAAAAAAAAAGAAGAGAGGUUACAGUUUCAAUUAUUAAGUUUGAAGAAUUAAAGAAAAAAAACUAGACUACAGAUAUGAAAAGGUAAUUCUGAUAAUUUUUAUUGAUGAAUUUUUUUUUUGUAAUGAGUAAGAUAAUUUUUUAGGUUUUAUAAAUGGGUUUUUGGUUAAAAAUCUCAUUUAGAUAGAGUUUUUGAUGGGUAAUUAUGAAAUUUGACAUAAAGGGUACAUGAUUAAAAAGGUGGGAAAGGAAGAUGCGAAAAGAAGGUAAGAAGGAAUCAAUUCAUGGCAAAAAAGAAAAAUAAAUAAGAGGGAAGAAAGAAGACAUAUAUUGAUGGGAGGCGGAGGUGGGAUAGGGAGGUGAGAGAAAGAUGUAACAACAAAGAAGGGUUUAGCGAAAGGUGNNNNNNNNNNNNNNNNNNNNNNNNNNNNNNNNNNNNNNNNNNNNNNNNNNNNNNNNNNNNNNNNNNNNNNNNNNNNNNNNNNNNNNNNNNNNNNNNNNNNNNNNNNNNNNNNNNNNNNNNNNNNNNNNNNNNNNNNNNNNNNNNNNNNNNNNNNNNNNNNNNNNNNNNNNNNNNNNNNNNNNNNNNNNNNNNNNNNNNNNNNNNNNNNNNNNNNNNNNNNNNNNNNNNNNNNNNNNNNNNNNNNNNNNNNNNNNNNNNNNNNNNNNNNNNNNNNNNNNNNNNNNNNNNNNNNNNNNNNNNNNNNNNNNNNNNNNNNNNNNNNNNNNNNNNNNNNNNNNNNNNNNNNNNNNNNNNNNNNNNNNNNNNNNNNNNNNNNNNNNNNNNNNNNNNNNNNNNNNNNNNNNNNNNNNNNNNNNNNNNNNNNNNNNNNNNNNNNNNNNNNNNNNNNNNNNNNNNNNNNNNNNNNNNNNNNNNNNNNNNNNNNNNNNNNNNNNNNNNNNNNNNNNNNNNNNNNNNNNNNNNNNNNNNNNNNNNNNNNNNNNNNNNNNNNNNNNNNNNNNNNNNNNNNNNNNNNNNNNNNNNNNNNNNNNNNNNNNNNNNNNNNNNNNNNNNNNNNNNNNNNNNNNNNNNNNNNNNNNNNNNNNNNNNNNNNNNNNNNNNNNNNNNNNNNNNNNNNNNNNNNNNNNNNNNNNNNNNNNNNNNNNNNNNNNNNNNNNNNNNNNNNNNNNNNNNNNNNNNNNNNNNNNNNNNNNNNNNNNNNNNNNNNNNNNNNNNNNNNNNNNNNNNNNNNNNNNNNNNNNNNNNNNNNNNAUGGGUUUGUGGUUAAAAAUCUCAUUUAGAUAGAGUUUUUGAUGGGUAAUUAUGAAAUUUGACAUAAAGGGUACAUGAUUAAAAAGGUGGGAAAGGAAGAUGCGAAAAGAAGGUAAGAAGGAAUCAAUUCAUGGCAAAAAAGAAAAAUAAAUAAGAGGGAAGAAAGAAGACAUAUAUUGAUGGGAGGCGGAGGUGGGAUAGGGAGGUGAGAGAAAGAUGUAACAACAAAGAAGGGUUUAGCGAAAGGUGAUAUAAACAAAAUUAAUUUUGUAAGAAAAUAUUUUUUUUAAUGCCAUGUCAACUAGUUUGUAACUUUUAGUGUCCAUGUCAACAAACAAAAUUUUAUAAAGUUACCAAAAUUCAAAAUUUGUGUUACGAAAAGUAUUUCUAAUAGAUUGUGCCAUUUUCGGUAAAGGCUUAAUAGGUUGUGCAUUUAAGAAAAAAAAUAUUAUUGUGUUUCUACAAUUAACAUCAAUUAUCACCAAACCAUUAAAUACUAAAAACCAAUUAAGAUAUAGUCAUGUUACAAAAAAUGACUCUUGUUAUGAUUUUUUUGUUUAUGCAAUGAUAGGAUGAGAUUAAAAGGUUAAUUUCUUUUUCGACAAAACUUGUAAAAUAUUAUUAAACUCAAUUAGAUAUAAUAUCAUCUACAGUUGGUCAAUCAAAAAAAUUGAGGGUCUAUCCACCGAAACAAUCGUGGAGUUCCAAUGAGUCUGAUUAUACGCCAUAACAUGGGUAAGCUUGUUAACUUAUCUCCGGCCAUGACGCCAAUUACCACAAUCAAACUUUGCCAAAAGGCAACGAAUUAUGGACUAAAAUCCAUGUUCGGUAUGAUGAUCUUCCACAUGAUGCAAAGUCUCAACCAUGAUCAAGCUAUCACUUUCAAGAACCACAUUAGGAUACCUAUGUUGCAAGGCCAAUUGUUAGCAAAAUCUUGCCUCGACCGCCUCAGUUAAAGUAGGCUCAUAGCAACCCUACAAUUUCAACAUAUCCGCCAUUAAGUAAUGCCGAACGCCAUCCCAGAUAACCACCCCAAUACCCAUUCUGGAUCCUGUAAUGAUAGUUGCGUUUAAGGUAGUGAAACUGGUGAGUCAACAUGGGAUCGAAAAGGGACCUAGAAUCGUAAUCGUAAAAUCAAAUCGCAAAAUCAUAAAAUUUCACGGUUCUUCAAUAAUACUAAAUAUUCAGAAAUUCACCUUAGCAUAAAGACGUAAGUUCAUUAUCCAAUCUAAAAUUAAAAAUAAAAUCUCAAAUUCACCUUAAUAGGUUCUUCAGUUGCACUACUUUGAGCUGAUUUUCGAGUCUAGGAGACCGGAGACAAAAUCUGUGAACAAAAUUGUACAAUCUUACAACAAAAAACAAAAUACCUUCGAACAAAGAACCUAAACACCAAAAAUCCAAAACUAAUCUAACAAAAACAGAAUUAGAGAAAGGAAUGGGAUGAUGAGCAAAAUCAUGGAAUGGGAUGAUGAAGAAUCAUGGAAUCAAGGAAACAGAGAUACCUUCGAGCCGUAGGAGUGGCUGGAGCGAUGGGGACGACCAAAGAGGCUAUGACGAGGACCAUUGACUCCUGGUUCUGGUCUUCUAGACUUCUGGGGGACGACCGACGGGGGAGACGACAAGAGAGAAGACUGAGGAUCGAGCAGAGAUCGAACGAGCAAUCGACGACUUGCACAAUUUUUUUCAGAAGAUAAAUGAAUUUAAGGUUCGAUUUUUUGCCCAAAAUUGAACUCGGAUUUCCGUUUCGGUUCGAACCGAAGCAUAAAAACCAGCGGUCAGCACAGAGUAGUGGACUCGUGAAUCGUUGUAAACUCGUUCGAUUCCACGAUUUUCACGAUUUUGCGAGCGAUUUCAUGCCAUUAUAAGCCAUUUUGAUUGCGCGUGAAAUCUGACUCGACGGACCUAACAAAACUCGUAAAAUCGUCGAUUCCACUUCCUUCGUUGUGUAUGUACUGAUAUGGGGUUCCUGGUUUAGUGGUUGAACCGGGGUUGGACCGUUUUUAAACCGGGUCGGCCAUUUUAAAUAUUACAUAAAGUUAAAUCGGACCGAAAAAAUAUUGGAUUGAACGAAAUCAAACUGACAGUACAAAUAGUCAAAUUUUGAGAUUUAACCUUUGAAAAUUGAACAAUUUUAAAAAAUUUAUGUACAUUAUGAUGUUAUUCUUUUUUAAGUUUAUGUAAUAUAAUGAUAUUAUCUAUAGUUGAAGUCUUCCACACAUAUAUAUCUAGAAUGCUAAAGAAACCCUAAUGGAUCUUUCAAUCUUUCUUUAAUUGGGCUCCAACUACUCAAUACCCUCUCUCACACUUUUUUUCUCUAUAGAGAAACUCUCUCCCUUUUUCAUCAGAUUUUUUUCUCCUUGUAAUCUAAUCUUAUUUUUCUAAUAUUUUCAUUCUAUUUCUUCCCUAUUUGUCUCUUUUACUUUUUUCUUUUUGGAAGGUUAUUAGAAAAAGAGGACCACUAAAUAAUUCCGUCGACGUCCAGCAAUAGGGUUUUCCAAUUUUUUCACAGAUGGAUCCAUGUUUCCAAAGUUCUUUUGUUUUUUUUUCUGAUCUGAUAGUUGGUUCUUUAACUAGUUGAAUUAUCUGGUUUUCCGGGGAAAUCGGGUCAAUCCUCAGUUUUGUUCAUUCUCCUCAACCGCUAACUCAGUAUUGAUCAAAUGAUCGGUUCACAGUCGGACCGGCCGGGCUGAUAUGGUUUUGCUAACAUUGAUCUUAGUAGAGCCGACUAGAGGCCAUUCCAACCGAGCCACAAUGGCCUCAUACGAAAAACUCCUAGUUACCCUGAGUUCUUGAUAAUAAAUAAGAAUUGGAGUGCUUGUGCUAUGAUAUCACACUCCAAUUAGUGAAACUCAUUAAGCAUACACACAUUCCUUUCUUUCCAUCAGAAUCACAUAAGCAUUACCCAUCUUUCCAACUCCAAAUUCAAAACUUUGCGGUUGCUAAGUGAGAACCAAUCGCAUCAGUCAUUAGAAUCAUCAAAAUCAACCAGUGAUCAUGUUUAGAGUUACCUCAAAUCCGCCAAGUCCAUUGGCAAUCUCGGAAAUAGUGAAUUUGCAGGCAACCUGCAAAAUGGGCAUAUAUCACCAUGUCGAGGAUUAUGCUUAUACAUAUUAUACCUGUAGGUAAAAUUUACGAUGAAAUUUUCAUAAGAACUGCUCACCUUCGACGGAAUCUACAAUGACCAAGAACAAUUCCAAACAUCCGAGUUGCAAUUUGGAUUAAGACCCACUAAAAGAAAACCGUGUCCAUUAUUACGGAUAAAACCGGCCGUUGUCACUGAUAUUUCCAUGUCCCUGCCUCGUUGUCGCGGGAAAAUCAUCCGCGACAACGGGCGCCUUCAUAAUGAGGGGUGNNNNNNNNNNNNNNNNNNNNNNNNNNNNNNNNNNNNNNNNNNNNNNNNNNNNNNNNNNNNNNNNNNNNNNNNACGGCCGCCUUCAUAAUGAGGGUUGUGGGGACUAAACUAUCCGCGAAAAAUAGGGUUGGCGCGAACCCGUUAUGACCGGUUUGGUUCAAAUAGUUAGGUUGAAAGGCAUUUUAACAAGUUUAUCCGCAAAAACGGCAAGAGAUAUCCGCGACAAUGGCUAACAACAUUUGUUUUGCCGUCAUAACGGUUCCCCUAACGACGUUGAGUUUAUCCACGGCCAAGGUUGACAUUGUUAGUUUCUCCAUCCUACCCGUAAUGGUUGUUGUGCCAAAUACUAGGCCAUAAUAUCUGCGACAACAGCUCAAGUACUGCCUAAAAUUUUGUUAUUUUUGCUUGUUUCGUCCACUGUGGGCGCCUAAAAUAAAAGUUUAUAUAUGCACUAUUCUACACAUAACACAAUAUAUACCAAUAUCAUUAGCAUAACGAUAACACAUAUGAUCAUCCAAGAGUUAAUACUAUAACAUAAUCCAUAGAUCUACUCCAACAUAAUUCCUUGAUUUUUUACCUAACUAAAGUCAUUAGUUCACUAGACUACAUCACUAUCAACCUAGAUAUAACUACACUAGAGACUCGUCAUCCUCAUCCUCGUCAUUAUGACCAAGAUCCUUAUUAGCUCAAGUAUACAAAAGAAGAUAUAUAAAAUUGAAAUUAGGUUAAAACACAUAAAAUUAAGUAACAUGAACUUUAUAACAUAUAAAGAUUACUAAUAAUUUACCCGCCACAUCGUAGUCGUAGUUCUGUUGGAUGUGGUUAUAUUAUAUUAACCGCUACAAUCGUCGUUACGGAUCAUUAUCCGUGUCCGACGAUGACCUAACCGUGACACCCGUUAUCGCGGAUAUUAUCCCCCAUAACUAAUCUACGUCAGACAUCAAAUUUUGUUGUAGUGGCCAAGCUAUUCUUUAAAGCUAGUCAGCCAGUUUUAAUACCCCUAUUUUUUCGAAUAAACAGCUUUACUACUUGAAAUCCAAAUAAGCAUUCCGAUUCUUGAACAUCGCAAUGAAUAAUUUGCACGAUAGAAGUUGAUAUAGUUGACCAAAAACAGCUUUCAAUAAGAGCAGUAUUCUACUGAUAAGUCGUUCGAUUAACCAACUCACGAACUGUAGCAUCAACAUCAAACCUCAUCGGCGUAGAGGUCACAAAAUUACCGGGUACUAACGGAAGCCAUCCGUCUCCCCAAAUUCUAACGGACAUACAAUUUCCCACCCACCACCCAAGGCCACUCCAUACAAAACAUUGAGCACCAAAAAGGCUAUGCCAUAUAAAGCUAAACCCAACUCAGCUUUAAAGACAUAAUAGAAUUUUUAAAAUACUUAGCUUUCAUAAUUCUUACAAUAAGGGAAGAUGCUCUUGAGUGUAAGUUCCAAAGAUGUUUAGCAAGUAAAGUAAUGUUAAAGCCUAAAAAAUCACAUAAUCCCAUCCUAGCUUCGGAUUUCAAACUCAAUAGAUAUUCUUGACAAAAUGAGGGAUGAGCACUGGGUCGGGUCACCCAUCAAAACCCACCCGCCUAUAAUCACUCUCUACCACUACUACCCUUUUCCCCAUCACCAUAAAACUUUGCAUGCUUGUUUGUGUGUUUUUGUAGUUUUUUUGUGUGUUUUAUGUCGCUUUUCAUCGUUUGAGUAGAGAGAGAGAGGGAGAGAGAGAGGGAGAGAGAGAGAGGGAGAGAGAGUAUUUCAAGGGUUGCAUGUCAUACCAAUGAUUAAGAAUGCAUGAUAGAAGGUCUCGAUUCAAAUUAGGGUUCGGUCGGUGUCUGAUCGAAGGACGAAUGAUGCUUGCAUUAUUUUAUUUUUACUGAAAAAUUGGGCUUCUGGAGCAGCCUUUAGAUCAAUCUCAAGGUGUGUGGCUUUGCAUAGUGUGUGUCGUUUCCUUAAGUUUCUCUCGAUAGAAAAUCGAGUUUAUGGCGUGUGAUCCCACAUGCCAUGUGACUGAUUUUUGACAAAACGAACCGACCAAAGAACAACCAAAAACCCAACCGGCUCAAACCGUAAUGAACCAGAUUGAUUUUCAAACCGAUUUUCAACCAAAUCAAACUGAGUUUGACCAGACGCAUUGACCCUUCGUUGACCGGCCGUUGCCCCCGUUGACCGGUCACCAUGGAAGAAAAAACAUGGCAGUUUAGUAGUAUUUUGGGCAUAACAUUUUGCUCGGGAGUCUGAUUGACACAAGGUCAGUGACGUUGGAAACUUGUUCAGUUGCCUACAACUUUGAUGUCAUGAUGUGGCCUAAAUCCAUGCAGUUUGUGCUCAUUUUUCUUGGUUUGGAUUGAUGGAAUUUGAGAAAGUUUGAAUUGUGGUCUUGUUUGGUUUGAUGAUUUGGUGCGAUCGUGAUCAAUUUCUUGAUAGUAUUAUAGUGAUAUGUUCAUUGCAAAUGCUAACGUUUGGGAUGGUUGUCCAAAAUGGAUAAUUCUAGCUUUGCAAUGUGAAGAUUGCUGGAUGUUGAGACGUGAUCACUUUGUCACUCUUGUAUCGAUGGCAUGUUGUUGAUUUUCAUGAGAACUUGGAAUGGCAUCAUGAUGCUUCAAAGUGUGGUUGAACGUAGGUUGUUACUAGGCCUGAGAGUCGGUUAAUUUGGUUACUAACCAUCUGCUUAAUGUUCGGGGAAAAUGAUUUGGAGAUUAAAGUUGGUUAAUCGGUUUAACUGACCGACCAUAUGUAAUGGUUAAAAAGCCGACCAAUAACUGAUAAAUCGGUUAAAUAACCAAUUAUUAACCAACAGAUUAGUCGGUUAAUCCUAUGAACUGACUUUGAUUGAUUGACCGACUAUACCGACUUAACCUAACAAGAUCUGAAUCUCCAUGCUCAUCUCUGCCAUCGAGUGAGCCACGUUCUGCUCAUGAUAACCGUUCGUCCAAGCAUUCAUACUCUACUAAGAAAGCUUGCCAUGGCCGCCACUCUGAACACCGGUCAAAGAACUGAAUACUUGUUCCAAGAUCCGAACUUCCAGAACCGUCUCCAAUCCAUCUUCCCAAUUGUAGUUUGGACAAAGUUUCCUCAUCUGAAUUUUUACUCAAUCACACAACUACAACCUACACGACAACCAUAAUCAAUAGAGUGGAGGGGGAUAGGAUGAAACAGAGGACUGGUUGAAAUUAUAUGGGCCUAUGUUGCAUCCUCAAUAGCUCGUCGUCGCCAAGCCUCACUGAGCCGUCCCCGAGAGAGGAAGAGACGUAGAGUCUAGAGAUCGUGCUUUACUAGUGCUCAACACUCAUGGAGCCGUCACUGAGAGAGGAACAUAAUCCCUAAUGAAUCGUGAAAUCGAGAAUGAACGGGGAUAAGUGAAUAUGUUUGUGUGUGUGUGAGUUUGACCUAAAAAUGGGGGGAUUGGGAAUACGACGUAGACAUUUGGGUUCAGACUUGGGGUUCUUUUGACCGAUUAAUGUUGGUUAACACAAGUUAACUGACGGGUUUUAACCGAUUCACCGUUUAACUGAAGUCAGUUUUUCUCUUUGACCGUCCCCCAACCAACCUGUAGCUCGAUUAAACCUUCCUCUAACUUAUUCGGUCGGUUAAUCAAUUUUAAACGAUUAACCGAAACUGAAUUCCUACCCUUAGUUGUUACUAGGUGCUUUUGUUGCUCCCAAUUGAUGAUUUGUGAUUAUUUCCAUGCUCAUUUAAUUUGCUUCCAUUGCUCAUAUUUUGUCCUACCAUUACCCUUGAUGACUCAUUGGUUACUCACUGUUUUGGUAAAUGGUUCAAAGAAGCAUGAGGCAUAUUACUAGUCCAUUUGUUCCUGUAAUGAUAUAUCUUUGACCUCACCUUUUGGUAUAACUUGAAUGAUGCAUACGUUGUCACUUCAUGCUUUGCAUACACUCUUUAUGCUCGUUCUUGUUCAUUGGACUUGGUCAACAUUUGUGAGGAUUUCUUUGUGGCAAUUGAUGAUAAAUGAGUUAAGGUGGUCCCAUAGCUUUUGCUUACCCUUGUCUUACUAAUUUAUGAAUUAUAGGAUGCUCUUGUUUAGGAUUGCUAGUUAGUCUUGCUUGAGAAUAACUAGUUAUCUUCUUCAUUGGUUUUGCCUUUCUUUUACAUCUUGCCUAUGCCAUGUCUACUUAUGAGCUAUUUAUUGCCUAUCGUUGCCUAAUUCGAUUGGAUGCUUAUUGAGGUGGUUCCUUAGUGGCCGUAGGAUUAUGGGUUGACACCUCUACAUGCUUGAUGUGUAUGAUUAUUCUCCAUUUCGAAAUUUUCAAUGAUACUUUAAAGUCAAAUUUGAAUGCUCUUUACAAAUGUGUCAAUUUUGGCACAGUUUUCAAGGAUUCAUCAUUUAGUGUUUAUAAUUCAUUUUCGUUUUAAAUUUUCGUUUCCCACAUUUACUUUUCAUGUUUUGUUGCUUUUAUUGUUUUAAAUUUUAUUAUUUUUAUUUUAAUAGGCUUACUUUCCUUGUAUAUCCCCAAUUGUAACUUGGUAUCCGUAUUCUCAACUAAAUCAACAAAUGACACCAAAUAACUUAAAAUUGAGAACUAUAAGAGCUCAAAAGAAGGAGAUUUAGCAGAGUCUCUUAUAGGUUUCAAAAAAGCGAGGAAGGAUCUUCAAGUGGAGAGGACCCUUUCUCCUCCCUAACUCCAAUGGCGAACAAAACUCUAGCAUUAGACCACCUAAAGUCAGACGAUAAGCCAUGCAUUCAUCUCGUGGACUUUAUCUUCUAUUGCGACACCAUCAAGCUACACGGUGUUUCUGUUGAGGUUCACAUCGUGUUCCCCUUGAGUUUCAGCAACCAUCCACUCCAAGCACCUUAAAUCAUCCGUCUUAGUUUCUGCUUGUCCCCAAACACCGUACAUCGCAUGUACUUCGUGAUUUUUCCAUUCUUUGAGGCAUUUAGCUCCUCCUUGUACAUCAUACAGUUAUGAAUAAUGCCUCGACGUUGUUGUGUGCCUGAAAUUGAUAAAAAACACAACGCAACAACAUCAAAUGGACCCCAAACGGGUAUGAGACACUAAAUCGAGAUAGAAGUUACAAAUGCACAAAACAUCAUGUCGUGAAUGUUUCGAUCCGCGACACCGAUGGCUUGAAAUAUUUCAGAGUCGCCACCAAUCUGUUGAAGCGGAUUGGACGCUGUCGACAUAACCCAGGUCCUUUUGGACGUGAGUUAGAACAGGUCUGCGGAACAGAGAUCCUGGAUUCGAGAGGCGGUUACGUGCAGGGAAGGAUUAGCACCCCCAUAGCGCCCGUCAAACCGGUACUACUAAAUUUGAUAAGUUAUGUUUUAUUUUCUUAGUUUAGUGGUUUAAUUAUGCUUUAGUUUGGACGCAUAAGGUUAUGUAAAUUUUUUAGAGAAUAUUUUUAUUCAAUUGUAAGUCUUUAUGAGUUCCCACUCUUGUGGAAAUUUUUUUUUAUGUUGAUAAAUAUUUUGAGUUGAACAUUCUUAAUUUAAUUGUUUGGAUUUACGAAUUCCCAUUCUUGUGGAAAUUUUGUUUUACGCUGGUGAAUAUUUUUAAGUUGGUUAUUUUUAAUUUAUAUGUUUGGACUCAAGUCUUACGACUGCCUACGUACCUAAUUCUUUGGGAUCAAAGAUCAUGUAGUUCGUUAUGGAAAAGUUGAUUUGAGGAUUUUUUGUAAUUUUUACUAUUAUAAAAACCACGUUAUCAUGCUCAUUUUUUAUUUGAAAGACAUUUAUUUGGUUAUUUCAAAGUUGGAACUUUAUUUGCCCACUUAUGAUUAAAUGAUAAUUCUACAAAAUUCGAAACUCUUGUCACGGAUACGAAAUUCAUAUAACAUUGCUAUAAUAUCUUUAAAGGAUUAUUAUUAAGGAAAUUUCACAUUUUUUGCCAAUCGAAAAAUUAAUUGGUUUAUAUCAGUUAACUUAAUUUGACAUAAUUAAAAAUGCAUUACAAGACGGUUAACGAACUUACAUUUAAAUAAAUAUGUCACAAGUAUUUUUGGUGAUUUGACAAUUCUAUUGUGGUUAUGUUAAUGUUAAUUAAAAUGAUACGUUGAUUUGAAUAAUUGUAAAGUUUUGAGUUUUUAAGUUUACAACUUUAAGGUAUAAAUAUCAAAUAGGAUUAAAGAAGGUAUGACGUUUAUUCUGUUAUUCUUCCACACUUAUUUCACUUUUAUUCCACUCUUAAUAUGGCCUUAAUGAUAUAUGAAUAUAAUUGAAUCGACUAAAGGCUUGGCCUUUCUAAAUUAAUUGUGCCCAAGCUCGAGCUCGGCCCAACCGAACGAUGAGCCGAACCGGCGGGUAAGAGGAGGGCAGCCCGCGUGCCAAACUGGUCGAACCGGUUAUCCACGGUUCGAUCAGAAAACUCAAAAAGAUGAAAUUGCCCCUAGCGUUCCGUGCGCUGAAGAAGGGUGGCAGGGGAAAUUUUGUAACUUCACCUUAAACCUAAUCGGCCUUAUAAAAGGGCCUCUUAAAUCGAGAAAUGACUCAUUUGCAACUUCCCACUCUCUCUUUAUCAUCCCUCUUUCUAAACCGCCGCCCUUCUCCCCCCCCCCCCCCCCCCCCCCCCCACCCACCUUUAUCACGGAGUGUGCUGUUUUUUUCUAGUUCCUUUCUCUUCUUCUCAGCCGCCCUUUUUUGCCUCCUCUUACCUCUCAGGACCCCUCUUUCUACCUCCGUUUUUUCGAUUUUUCCAGAUUUGGACUUGCAUGUCAUCGGAGGAUACUCCGGUGAGUCCUCCGGCAAAAUGCAAGUCUCGAUCUGUAGAUCUAAUGUUUUAUUUUGGUAUUAAACAAUUUUGGUUAUUUGAGGGUGGUACCGACGGGGGUGGCGGGGAGGUAGAGAAAUGGAAAAAAGAGAAAGUUAGGUAAGUAAGAUUUCUUCCCUAUUCCUUUUGAUUAAUGUCUGGUUAAUUGCUAACGAAGCUAACUACCGGUUUCUUUGAUGACUUUUUUUAUGUCUUUGAAAAUGGGCAUAGUCGACAUGUUUUGGAAAAUGAGAGGAAAAGGAGAAGAUUGCUUUUAGGAGGUAAGACAGCUAAUUUUGAACCCAUUCUAAUUUUUCUAGGUAGAAGUAACAAUUCUAUUUGUUGAUAAGUUGCAUAAGAAACUAGGUUUGUUUUGUUACUGAAGUUGUAGUAGUAGUCUAGGUGUUUUAAAAAGUUUUGUUUGAAAAACUUUAUUUUUUUUACUAUUGUUUAAAUUUUUUUAGCAACAUUGUUUAUUCCAAAAAUCCGUAUUUUAACUCGAUUUUACUAUGAGUUUCAUAGUUCUUUAGGUCUUUGGUGCGAAAAUGAUGAAAGAUGGCUAUAGGUUUCGUUGUUAAUACUUUCCAAUAACUUUUAGUUCAUUUUUGAAGCUUAUUUGAUUGAUUUGUUGGUUGUUUAUUAAAAUGAAUCAUUUAUUUGAUUAGUUGCAACGAAUCAUUGGGUUCAAUAGUAGUUUAGAAGGUUGCUAAGUGAUAUAGCAUAACAAUGUAUAUGUAUGAAUGAUGUGUGAAUGCUUCAGAAUAGGGAUGUUUUGAAUGAUUACCUUCAUUCAAAAUUUCUCUUUUAUCGUAUUUCAGGUGGCGGCGCCUAUCGUGAGUGACGUCAAACCGAUUUGGCGGCUUCUAUGUGUAUGGCGACAAAAGAUGUUGUAAAACUUAUUUUUUUACAGUUUUGUAAUUAUUUCCCGGGACUUUGAACGAGUGAUGUUGGUGUAUUAUUUUUGGGGGUUUUGGGAAGAACUGGGGGACGAAUUUUGAAAACUGUAAGCUCCUCUUUUUGCUGAUUUUUGUCAGUCCAUUUAAAUGCAGAAAGGGCUACAGUCACUUCUUUUAACCAACCACAUCUUGCAAAGUUUUCUGACAAAAAUAAAAGGUGGCAGCUCCCCAAAUAAUAACCGUAACGGGCCCGAUAUUGGGCUUGAAAUAAGGCCUGGAAUCGGGCCCGAAAUCAAAUUGGGUCUAACACAUAAAUAGUUUCGAGAUAAGGGAUUUUGCCGAAUUUCGAGAUAGCGGACUUGAGGUCCACUCAUUUCGGCCGUUUCCGUUUAAAAAGAUCUAAAACAAAAUCGGCUUAGAACAGUCUGUAACAUAAUAAUUACAUCUCGAAAAUAUGCUAUUUGGCUACCAAGUUCUCCCCUAACGUGCACUUUGAUUAAUUUAACUGAAUAAACUUCGCAACAAGUAAAAUCUCGACGCUAAAUCCUUCCUAGAGAUGCUACGACUAUUUAGUGAAAUGACACUGGCGUGCAUUCUUCACUCGAACGAAAUUUGGUUACUACAGUUGUCCCUCUUUGUAUUACUUUCGCUUGGAAGUGGAAAGUGGUACAAAGACAGAAACCAAAUUUCGGACGAGCGCCUGAACUUCUCACGUCAAGUCCACUAGGGUCCAAGGAUCUGCCACAACAUCGGGUAGAAAACAAAAUUUGCAACCUGACCACACAAACAACAUGCAAUGCAUUUCCCUAUGGGUGUUAGGGUGAAUGUACUAGGGACUCAGCUUGACUUAUCUCCCGUUCCAUGGGUUGACUAUACUAGGGACUCAACUCGACUUAUCUCCUGUUCCAAGGUGCAAUCCGCUUUCCCCAGGAUGCUAAGGGUUGAUGUACUAGGGAUUCGACUAGACUUAUUUCCCGUUCCAACGUGCGAUCCGUUUGCCUUAGGACGCUAAGGGUUGAUGUACUAGGGAUUCAGCUUGCUUAGUUCCCGUUCCAUGACUACAAAUGUGUUGAUGAUGAAUGGUUUCGAAAGAGUUUGAGUAAGGCUCCCCCUUUUUGAAAAAAACAUGCAUCUGAUGGCAAUGCUUGAUUGAUAUUUUUCAUCAUUUUCACUCCGACGAGAUUCACUGUUUUGUUUUCUUGUCGCUUAGUUCGCACUACGUGCUAGCGCAAUGGUGUCAACCCUGCUGAUAGCUGGGUAACCUUUAAUGUAUGUGCCCAUUUUUCUUUGUUUUUCCCCCGACGUCUUCAUAUUAUUCCCAUGCCUUGGGAUUUUAAGGAUCUCUUUCCUACUUUGUCUCUACUUCUAGAUAUAAUGGUAAGAUAACGACGACCUUUGUAAAUUUCUUUCUUCGGUUAGGAAUAAGUGGAGAAAUCCUGCCAUCCGGGCUUCUUUUCUUUAACCCUUCCCUUUUACUAAUUUUUUCAUUCUUUCAACGGUUUUCAUUAUUAUUACUAUUAUUUUUCUCCCUUUUGUCUUCACUUUACCGCUAAUUUCAUUUGAAAAGACCUCCUAAUGAUUAAUUAGAGCGAAGGUGUUUGCACGAACGCAUUUGCCUCAAGUUCCUGUGGGGUGUUGUACCUCAUCCAUUUUGUUUGGUGAUGCGUGAACAAUGGUUAGGAGAGUAGUAUUUGAGAAUUCAUGAAGUAUCCAAAACUUAAAGUUGACUUAAAUUAUCACUUUAUUGAUGGAAAACCGAUCACGUAGAUCUCCGUCAGGAACUUUAAGCAUAGUACUUGUUUACUGAAUAAGAGUUAAAUAGGUAAGGGAGCUUGUCUCCGUCCAUGUUUGCCAGUAUUAAUGCCCCCCUGAGAAAGCCCUUUCCCCUACAUAGGGCCCUUCAUAGUUCGGCUUCCACAUUCCUCUUGGGUCCCCUUGUCAAAUGGAAAUCUUCUUCGUUACCAACUCUCCUUCGCGAAAUUCCCGUGUUUCACUUUUUUUUAAAAGAUCUGAUAAAUCUGCACUGAUACAGGCGUUAGUGGUGGAUAGCUGCCAACCUUUUCUCAUCAAUUUAAUUUAACUGGUCGUAUGCCGCUUUUACCUACUCAACUUGUUCUAACUUCGCCUCCAUGAUAACCCUUAGUGAAGGCAUUUCUACGUCCAUGGGAAGCACUGCCUCCAUCCCAUAGACCAAUUGGUAAGACGUCGAUCCCGUUUAGGUUCUUACUGAUGUUCAGUAACCGUGCUGGGUAAAUGGUAGAAUUACGUGCCAAUCGCGGUCGGUAACGACCAUUUUCUGUAUGCUUUUCUUGAGGUUUAUUGUUUGUCAGCUCGACCGCUCCGUUCAUCUUUGGUCGGUAUGGUACCGAGUUGUGGUGCUUAAUCUUAAACUUGUUGCAAAGCUCAUGCAUCAUCUUGUUGUUGAGAUUUUUCGCAUUGUCGAUUAUUAUUCUUUCCAGGAGCCCAUACUAGCAAAUGAUUUCCUUUUGUAUGAACUUUUUGACAACGCUCUUGGUAGUGUUUGCAUAUGACACAACCUCGACCCAUUUCGUGAAAUAGUCGAUGGCUACUAGGAUGAAACGGUGCCCAUUAGAUGCUUUUGGUUCAAUCAUGCCUAUGACCUCAUGAUGCAAAAGGCCAAGGCGAUGCCAUAAUGUGCAACGAUGAUGGAGACACGUAUUUCUCACCGGCAUAAACCUGGCACUUAUGGCAUUUUCUCACGUGUUUUACAUAGUCAGAGUUCAUCUUCGUCCAAUAGUAACCCAUCCUUAAUAUCUUCUUAGCUAGCGCAUGACCACCGACAUGUGUGCCGCAGACUCCCUCAUGGACUUCUUUUAUUGUUCUCUGAGAUUCAGGGGCAGCUACACAUCUUUGCAGCACAAAAUCAUGGCUUAGUCUGUAGAGGGUAGUCCUAUGAACAUAGUAACCCAUCUCCAAUCUCCGUAGAGUCCUUUUAUCAUUUUCAGAUGCCCUAGCUGCGUACUCCCUUUUAUGUAGGUAGGUCUUUAUGUGAUGGUGCCAGGGAUUCCUCAUGCUCUUUUUGGACUCUACCUAGGUAGGCAGGUGCAUUUUUCUUUUUGAUUUUGCUUCAUGGGUUAACCUCGGUCUCGUCCAGUUUGUACAUCGAGGACAAUGUGGCGAGAGCAUCCGCUAUUUGAUUGUCGACUCGCGAGAUGUGCUCAAACUGUAUCGACUCAAAUUUUGCGGCCAUUUCCCCUAUGUAUUUAUGGAAUGGGACAAGCUUAUGACCCCUAGUUUCCCAUUUUCCUUCAACUUGUAUAUUACUAGCGCUGAAUUACCAUAUGCCUUCAAAUUCUUAAUAACCAUUUCGAGGGCUCCUCGGAUCCUGAAAGUGCACGAUUGGCACUCUGUUAUGUUGUUGGUGCAAUCGAAGCAAAUUUUGGCAGUAAUAGGGCACACCCUCCCUUCAGAAGAGACAGAAACGACGCCGACGCCCUGUCCCAAUGAGUUUGAGGCCCCGUCAAACUUCAUCACCAAUGUUUUUUGGACGAAGCCUUCCACUAAUUUCUCAGUGUUCAGUAUAGUUUCAUCCGGAAAUUCCAUUAACAUCGGAUUCGUGUCCGAGAUUGCAUGCUCCGCUAGAUGUUCUGCCACUACACUCCCUUCAAUGGCCUUCCUUCGGAUAUAAACGAUGACGUAUUCUGCCAGCAGCACUUGCCAUUAGCCUAUCCAUCUGGAGAGGGCCAACUUUUCGUGGACAUCCUUGAUAGGGUUCAUUUUUUAUAUUAGGAGCUUCGUGUGAUAUAACAUGUACUAUCUCAGCCUUAUGGCUACCCAUACAAGUGCUCCGCAAGUUUUCUCGAGCGAUGUAUAUCGAGAUUCGUAGUCAUGAACUUCUUGCUGGUGUAAUAUAUUGGCGCGCUCUUUCCUUCCCGAUUCAACAUGUUGGGCCAACAUCGCGCUUACCAAAUUUUCAAAUACCGUGAAGUACAAUAUUAGUGACCUUCUAGAAGUUGGUGGGGCCAGAACCGGAGGGUUUAAUAAACACCCUUUGACUUUCCGAAAGGCAUGAUGACAACCUUCAUCCCACUCGACAUUCCGGUUCUUCUUUAAAAGCUUGAGAAUGGGUUCACACGUUAAGCUCAAAUGCGAUAUGAACCGACUAAUGUAGUUCAAGCGUCCUAAGAAUCCUAGCACCUCUUUAUGCAUUUAGGGAGGAGGUAUGUCAACCAUUGCCUUCACUUUGUCAGGGUCCACUUCAAUCCCCUUUUGGCUAACCACGAAACCGAGCAGCUUCUCCGAGGUGACUCCGAACGUACACUUUUCUGGGUUCAGCCAGAGCUGGUACUUCCCGAGUCGCUCGAGCAAUUUUCAUAGCACAGUUACGUAGUCGUCUUCCUUUUAUAACUUUGCUAUAAUGCCAUCCAGAUAUACCUAUAUUUCUUUGUGUAUCAUGUCAUGAAACAGUGUGACCAUGGCCCGCUGGUAAGUUGCCCUAGCGUUCUUCAGCCCAAAAGACAUAACUUUAUAGCAAAAGGUUCCCCAUAAAGUGAUGAUGGUCUUUUUUUCUCGAUCAUCCGAAACAUCCUGAUAUGGUUGUAUCUUGAGAAACUGUCCAUGAAAGAGAACAUAUUAGUUGACGGUAUUAUCAACGAGGACAUUUAUGCGAGGCAAAUGGAAGUUGUCCUUUGGGCUUGCCCUAUUUAAAUCUCUGUAGUCUACGCACAUUCUCAUUUUUCCAUUCUUCUUAGGCAUAGGGACCAUAUUAGAGAUCCAAUCGGUGUAUUACGCCACCUGUAAGAACCCGAUUUCGUAUUGUUUCUGCACUUCUUCCUUAAGUUUGAGUAUCCAUUCCGGUUUCAUCCGCCAUAACUUUUGCUUUACUGGCUUGCACUCCUCCUUUAUUGGCAAGUGAUGUGUUACUAUUGUUCAUCGAGGCCCAACAUAUCUUGAUAAGACCUUGCGAAAACGUCCUAGAAGUUCUGGAGUAGUUUGACGAGCCUGUUCUUUUCUGCUUGGUCUAAACUGUCCCCUACCUUAACCUGUCGCCGAUUGUCCUCUGUUCCCAAAUUCACGACCUCUACUGACUCGUAGAAAGGUUUCAAGGAUCGCUCUUCUUAUCCUGCCAUCCAAUCUGUUUCUAGGUUAGAACCAUCACUGGCUUCCUCGGUUUCCAUCUCAUAAACUGGGUGGUGAAAGUCAACUUUAGUGUUUCGUACCUCUUCAUUGUUUUCAAACACAUCUGUAACCCUGUUACGUGACGGGAAAUAGAAAAGGGAAAAAGAAGAAAAGCGGAAGUGAAUAAUAUAGACGAUGCACGGAUUGAGACUUAUGAAAACAUGCUUUAUCAAACAUGUGAAAAUGUGAUACAUGCAUUCAGGAUCACUUAAAAAACACUAGGAAGCCCUUGCUUAUUUUAUUUAGUAGUCAUAUUUUAGAGUUAUUACAUCUGCAAUGGCGAAAGUAACUCCAAAGCCUCCCAAUUGCUUAGCUCUUCCUUUGGACGGAGCUGCCGCACCCAUUUUAUUCCGGUCAUAAUUCCCGUACCCAGCAUGCUGAUGAAGAGAUCUGCAAAAUCCGACUGUAACUCUUUGGUGGUCGGAUCAGUGUAGUUUUUCCUCACAUUUAUCUUUCCAGCAUUCUUGCUUGUGAUGUGAGGUAUGAAAGUCAGGCCUUCAUCAUCUUCUGUCCCACUUAACCUGGACACCCUCCUCCUUAUCCGUUCCUUUUGGAUCCUCCUUAUAUCAUCAUCGUUUAGAAUGUAUCGCAAUCCCGCACGGUUCUUAUUUUCUUUGACCUGGAUGGGUUCUUUCAGCACCUCCUGCCAUUAGUAUCAUAGAUUCCAUACUCGAUAUUAAUCUAACCGAUGUCUCGAGACUAAUUAGAGUUAAUUACCAAGUGCAUUAAUAUAGUACAAUGAUUAAUCUGAAAAUUAAUUCCAAAGCGGAUCGACAUUCCGCCCCUCUCUCAAGUGUAGCGGAGACGACGAUAGACCUUGGCGUUUGGGGAUUUAGUCUCACUUUCGUAUCUAAACCAAAUCCCAACAAUAAUCUUACAACUGGAAUUCGACAAUUACAAAAUAAAGCAGUAGCUAUAUGCAAGAGAAAGACAAUAACGAAAUUAAUGAUAGUUCCGCUUAACACAAUCGAAAUUAUGUCGUAUUAACACAUAAUCAAGGUUUCAUCAAUUUCGGACAGACAGCUUAGUUACACAUGGUGAUCAAAUUAAAAACACAGAAAUCAAGAUAAUACAUGAACCUGGAGCUCCAUGCUUCAUGAACGCUCUGCCGUCGUAAAAUUCAGCAAUGUAGGCGGUCCGAACGGAAGUUCCGAAAUGGAUUUCUUCACCUUCGGAGCUCGAAAUUGCAUGCGGUUUGAAGUGGCAUGUUCCUGGGUUGAAGAAGGACGUCUUGGGGCAGAGUAGGAAGGCUUGCGGGUCUGAUAUGGUGUGUGUAUGGUGUGAUUUCGAAGUGGACAUGACUUGCCCUUAUAUAGGCUCGAAAAAUGGCGUAUUAAGGCCUCCGACAUGGGCAUACCAACUCCAUCAUCUGUAUGCAAGCUGUAGCUGUCCCUGGACUGAUGAUGGACGGAUCUACAUGUGCUGGACGUCCUCAACCAUGCCCGGUUAUCCUUCCGGCGAUCGGUUGAGCGGUGGAUUGUAAAACGGGUCGUAACUUCUUCGUUGCAAAUCUGAUUUAGCUCCGGUUUGUAUCGUUGGAUUUUUAAUUCAUCCCUUUAUAAUACGUGACCUGAAAUUUUAUUAAACACACUAGAAGAAAUAUAAAAUUGGACCAUAAAGGUCCAAGGGUUGAAUUUACGGAAUUAAGUGCAAUAUAACUGAUAUCCGUCGAAACUUUUGUUUGCAAUUGAUAUUAUGACUUGAAGUGUAGAAAGUUUAGUGCCAAAUAUUACGGUAUGUUAUGAUGUGAUCAAAAUACCCCACACUUAAACUUUUCUUGUCGUCAAGAAAACUGUAACUUAACCCACACGAAAUACCAAAGAUAGUUACCAUCAUUUAUACAAGGUUUAGGAAAUGUAAUUUUACAAUUUACGAUGCAACAGAGGUUAAAUGCUUGGCCACAUCGGUGAGAUAAAUCUCUAGUUAGAAAUUCACGAGACAGUGCACACCAGAUUAAUCAAGAUUCAAAUGCUAAAAAUAAAAGGGUUAAAUGCAUUUGUUGCAACUAUAAGAUUCAUUUUGCGCUUCCUUACGAAAUUAUGAAAUUUUAUUUCUUUUUUAAAGUUUCAAAAUUUUGAAUAACCCGUAGCCGAGCAAGACUAGUGAGUACUAUACUCAACCUUUUAACACAUUUCAUUCUUCCCACACACACCUCAAUUAAGUCCCGUAUGGGAGGCAUCUAAACUGGCUGCCUAAUUGGCAGGGCAGCUAAUGCAGAGGUGCUAGUCCUCUACCACACGCGUUAAGUUAAUCAUUGAAUUAUUGAGACAAAUUAAAGAAGCAUUUUGAUUUAAACAUUUUUUUAUGGCGAAAGUUGAAUCCAGUUUUGAAUUUGCAGAUUUAAACCAAACAUUUUAAGCAUUUGCAUCAAUUAAUCCGAGAUGUACUAAAUACAAAAAUGAAAGUCUAGUAAAAACAAGUGGUCAUUCCGCAACAACUACCAUGUCACCCAUAAUCGUUACAUUCCCAUUGUCUAUUUUAAUGUGAUCCCUAAAUUGGUAGAUGUGUAACCGCUAGUACUGUUUGUGAGGAGAUUAAAGUAAAGUACGGAUGAAAUGUUGAAAAAAAUUUAAAACACCUCUCGUUACACCAUCACCCAACACUUGAAUUAUACAUUGCCCUCAAUGGACUAUGAAUCUGGGAUAAGAGGGAAACAAGUAUACCGAGAUAUCGAGAAUGACAAUGCCAAAGUAAACUGCUCUAUAAUACCUGUCUGUCGGAUGAUAACGGUAACACAGUGAUAACAAAACAAAACAAAACUCAAAACACAUUUGGCAAAUGCCACAACUAAAAAUCAUACUAAAUCACACCACACAAUGAUGCAGAUCCAAGAUAAAUAUAUUCGAAAAUGUUAAUAUUUUGAAAUACAUCAAAAAGAAGAAGAGAAAAAUACACAUCCUAGAUCGAAAAAUCAAUCAUAACUAUCGGAUCAUAUUCAAAAUUUUGGGCAGAGUCAAGAUGAUUUUAAGGGUCUUGGAUGAUUUUAUUGAAUGAAAUAAGAAACUUGGGUUGUCUCCCGAGGACCACUUUUUUAUCGUCUUUAAGUUAGAAGUUUCCAAGAAAAUUAUUUAAUUAGCCAGGUGAAACACCUCAUGGAUGGUGAGAGAGUCGCUCGCAAGGUAGAGUUUCAACCGAUGACCAAUAACUUUAAACAUACCAUGAUCAGGGCUCGAGAUUUCAACAAUUUCGUAAGGAAGAACUUCAGUCACUGUGAAUGGGCCCAACCAAUGGGAUUUAAUUUUCAUGGAAAGAGGCGAAUCCUAGAAUUAUAUAGGACUAUGUCUCCCGGACGAAAGUGUUUUCCAGGUUUUAACCUUGCGUCAUGAAGACGCUUUGUCUGUUGCUUAUACAAAUUGCCAUUUUAAUAGGCAUGAAGAUGGAAUUCCUCCAGUUCAUGUAUGUGGAACUGAUGGCGAGGUCCAGCGACACUCAUAACAAGGUUUAGAGAUUUAAAGGCCCAUAAUGCCUUAUUCUCUAACUCAACAAGCAGAUGUCAUGCCUUUUCGUAGAAGAGACGGUAAGGGGUAGUGCCGAUAAGAGUUUUAAAAGUGAUAUGCCCAAAGUGCAUCGUCCAACUUUUUUUACCAAUCCUUGCGAGUCCAGGUGACAGUUUUCUCCAAAAUCUACUUAAGUUCUCGGUUCGUUACUUUCGCUUGACCACUAUUAUGUAGGUAGUAACCAGUGGACAGACGAUGAGUGAAACCAAAGCGGCGACACACAUGAUCAAACUGUCCCUGACAGCGGGUUCCUCGAUCGCUGAUGAUAGUGCGAGGUGCUCCAAACCGAGUGAAAAGUAGUUGCACAACUGGCUUAUAAGCUAGCCUCUUCCAUAAGAACUUUGUGGGUAAAAAAAGAGGGAGAGAUGCUUCGAAUAUCAUAGAUUUUCCAAGAAAUGGCCUUAAUAUGCUCUUUUAAAAGGGUGAUGAGACGUCCCUUUUAUUCCGGAAUGAGGGAGGCAAUGAUACUGACUAGAAGCUUCGAGUAAUCCAUCAGAAAAGCAUACUUGAGGUGCUCCGGUAGUGCUUUCAUCUUCAAUAUUGGAGGCUCCUCAUAUGAGGGUUUGACGGGCUCAAUCCUUGAGAGCUUGACAGGAGGUUCAGGAGCAGAGUCUUAGCAAUCUGCUCAAGUUGUUGUACCUCAUCAGAAGCAUCCCAAACACCAAAAUAAAAGGCACAACUCGAGAGGGUCUUAGCAAAUGCCCUCAGAUAAGAAGAAUACUGAUCCAACCUCAAUGGAGUCAGCAGGAUAGUUUCAGUCAUCCUGGACAUGGGCAUAUUUCAUCCUGUCAGCAUGGCGAAAUGUGGCCUUUCCUUGACCUACUUGAAGAGUAAGCUCGCCUUCAUGGACAUCAAUGAUGGUGCGAGCCGUAUUUAAGAAUGGGUGGCCAAGAAUGAGGGAGGCAUCUGAUUCAUUGGUGUCAAUGAUAACAAAGUCCACCGAAAAGACAUAAGGUCCCAUCUGCAUAAGUACAUCUCUCAGGAUUCCACGACAAAUUCGAGUGGACUUGUUAGCCAACAGGAUGGUCAAUUGAGUCGGUGUUGGUUCUCCUAAAUCGAGCUGUUGGGAUAUCUUGCAUGGCAUUAGAUUGAUACUUACCCCAGAGUCAGCCAAAGUCUUAUCCAUGCAGGUGUUGGUGAUAUAGUAACAUAAGGUGAAAGAAUCGUGAUCCUUAUGUUUCUUAGGUAGCUGGUUCAGAAUGGCAGCAUAACAUUCAACAUCAAGAGUAACAGACUGAAUCUCAUCCAAUUUUCUCUUAUUGGUCAGAAUCUCCUUUAGAAAUUUCGAGUACUAGGGCAUUUUGGUAAUUUCCUCAAUAAACAGGAUAAUGCCAUUUGCCGUAAUCAUAAGUUCAAUGAACCUUUUGUAACUGGCACCCAUCAUAUCACUCCUUAGACGAGAAGGAUAAGGAGGUUUUGGUUUGUAGGGUGGUAACUCUGGCUUAGGGGGAGAUGGUUACAGUAGCCUUUGGAUAGGUGGCCGAGGUGGCUUUCUCAUCCUUCUUCUCGACGCUAAAGUCAAUGAUCAGCGUUGGAGGAAUGAUGACAGGUGUGGACUAUGGAAUGGGAGGAUCCUUACUGGUGGUUCCACUCUUGAGGGUGACACCUUCACAAGAUUCCGAAGUGUCAAAUCCUUCAUUAGUAACAAAGAUUGCUUUUGAUUCUUCUUGCAUAGAAUUGUUUUCUGUGUUGCUAGGGAGAGAGCCUUGUGGUCUCUCACUAAGAAUUUUGGAAAGAUUUUUCAAUUUCAAUUCAAUGUUAUGGAAAGUGGUUUGUUGCCCACGGAUAAUCUUUUCCAACCUCUCGAGUCUGGAAACUUCAUCAGACUUGGAUGUAGAAGAGGCUUGAAUAGGCGGUUAUUCAGGCUUUUGCCCAAAACCAGGAGGUCAUUGGUUAUUAGUAUAGUUCCUCGAUUGAUAGCCUUGAUUAAGACGAGAGGCAGAGUUUCCUUGGUUGAAGGUUGAUCUGUAAUAGGCAUGUUCAUCUAAUUUGUGAAUGUUUUGCUGUUGUGACGGUCCUGAGCAUUGGGUAUCAUGGUUGGUUUGGUAAGAGUUUUGGAAAGACUUGGAUUUAACUUGAUUUCAAAAGUUUGAGUUUUAAUUUUGACCAAAAAUUUAUCAAUCUUGUGGGUAACCACCACCCAAAAAGUCAACUUCUUCUGUCUGGUUAAAAACGGUAUCCCCAGAGUAACAGUCAGUAGAAUCACAUCCUUGAUCCCCUCAAGCAACAUAGACAAAGAUUAUUGCCGUCGAAUUCUAUAGGGUCCUGACGUUCAGCUUGCUCACUUUUUGAGAAAGCGCAUGCAGCUGAGAGAGAACGGGAGAAAUAACCGUCCCAAGGGUUUCAUGACGAAUCACAAAGGAUGAAGUGGUAGGCGGGGUGCUAUGAUGCUUCCCAUGUUGCCUAGUCAAAGUAUGACUACACAUAUCACAUCCAGCAGCCAGGUUGAUCAUUUGUGUGCUUUCCCGAUUGAGCCUUCAAUUGAAAAUAUCGGCUUGGUUUCGGUCAUCGAAGCUGUGAUGAGCGCAAGAGCGGAGGAGGGCUUGGAAUCGAUUGCAUGCUUCAUAUAAUUGUUCAUUAUCUCAUUGCAUGCAAUGGAUAAUUCUCUCUUUUAUCUCACCGCGCUUCUAUGGAGGAAAAAAUACCUUGAGAAAGGCUUUAGCGGGACCGUCCCACAUGGUAAAACUCCCUACUGGUUGAGAAACAAGCCAGAUUUUUGCAGCUCCCUUGAGAGAGAAAGGGAAACGCUAGAGGCGAAUGGCAUCAUGGUGCACCUGUUGGAGUUGUAAGGUGUCGCAUAUUUUGAGUAAGUAUUUGAUAUGUUGGGUGGAGUUAUCGUCCUCUUUCCCCAAGAAUUGGACUGUUUGUUGGACCAUGUAGAUCAUAGCGGGUCGCAAUUAAAAAUUGUUGUCUUCGACGUGGGGUCGGGCGAUGGAGGACCCCAGGUUCUAGAGACUUGGUUUGGCAUAAUCGCCAAGUGUCUUCUCUUCAGCCAUGGUGAAGGAUCCUUUGGGGGAAAUGCUUACGUGAUCUUCGCCAGAGUACUCAUCCUUGGAAUCCGUUCUACCGAGAGCCGGAGGUGCAAUUGUAAUUCCUUCAAGGACAUGUUUAGAAAAUUACCAAGUAAUCCGUCGAGUCAUUCAUUUGACCGAAUAGGAGUUUGGAAGAUGGGAGGAGAGAGGGAAGCAGAAUGAAUGAAUUCGUUGAGUUUUAGGUUUUGGAGGUUUGAAGAAGAAGUUUCGAGAGAGUGUUAAAGAAGGUGAGUGGGAAGAUUAUGGAGUACUUUACUUAGAAACGCCGCCUUGUUGCCAAAACCAAAACUUUCAUUUCAGUUCCAAGGAAAGUAGGGGAGUCACUCAGACUACUUAAAUCCCUUUAAACUUUAGGUAGCAUCUCUUUACGAAAGCCAAAAUAAUCCUCUCAUCUUUUUUAAUUCUCCUUUCUUAUGAUUUUAAAUUUUUUCUAUUUUUCUAUUUUUAGUGUUUAAAUUCAUAUAAAUGAUUGGUAGCAGAUUUUUUUAUUUUUUAAUUAUUUAUUUGGAUUUUUUUGUGGAAUAGGAAAGAUUCGGAGAUGAGUGGAAGAUAUGGAAAAGAUUGAGAGUUCAGUUGAGCAAGAUAAAAUAUUGAAUGGCUGAAAUGUAGAGAGAGAAAAGUUGAGUGACCAAGAGGGGAGCAUGGGAAAUAGUAUCUAGAAAAUAAAUAUAAAAUAAUUUAAGAAAAAGUAUUAUUAUUAAAAGUGAAAAUUUAGUAACUGUUUCGUACAAAAGGAACGAGGUCCACGACAACGACGCCAAAAUUUGAUCACCCCCGUAGGCAAGUUUAAAGAUAAACUCGGAAAAACCGAGGUCGUAUUCACGCGGAUUCAUUCCGAGUAUUACUCCUGAAAGUGCGAAGAUGAAAGUCUAAUCGUUGGAAUAGCGGGUAUGAAAGCACACAAAUCGCAAUCGAGUAUAAUGGAUGAGUGAAACCUGUCCGGAAAUGAAUUCACCAAGAAUCAGAGCAAGGAUGGUCAUUGUAACCCUUCUUCCUUGUUGCAGUUUCAUCAUGAUAGGCUACACCUUUUGUUGUUAGAUUAGGGAUGAUGUGGAUGCAAGGAGAAUCCCCUCAUAAUGAGGGAUUGGACAAGAUUUGGAUGAUUUGUGGGCUUGCUUUGGAUGAAUGUAGGGAGAUUGAUGCAUGUACACACUUGAUUAAACUAGGAGUGUAUCAUUGAAUGAGAAAUUGGUAGUAUACGAGGACCUUCCAUACCCAAUUCAUCCAUCUUUUUUUGUAAAUUGCAUUGACGCAUUUAAUCAAACAUUUGGCGUGCAUUUUGGUUCUUUCUUAGUGGACCAAACUAGGUUUAGAUAGAGUCAUUGGGUGUUGAUGUGACCACAUUAGCAUCCUUCAUAGGUGUUUGGGGUGCCUUAUUUCCUUGUGCAUCAUCAUAUUAUUCCGAUUGAACAUCAUUGAAUGCACUUUUGGCUUAUAAGUUGUUUGUGACCACAACAAGUUAUAAGGUCCAUUGGUACUGUUAGAUAUGACCAUGCAUAUAGACUUUAACGAAUAGGAAUGCAUGGAAGCUUGUAUAGUUUGGUACCUAACAUUACACUUUGGUCAUAAAAUACCCAUCACAUAAUCAUAAAAUAUUCAUAACAUUUGGUUUAUGUUUUUCUCGCAACUCUUUUUGUUGGAUUUAAUAAUCACCACCAGGAUGCCGUUUUUAGAGUCUGUUUAAUGUAUGAUGAUAGAAUUAAAUCAUUUGAUUGGUUAUUCCGUACAUUUUUACAGUGCCUGUGAGGGAAGGCACCCAAACCAUUUUCUCAAAUCAGGACCCGACCAUGGAUGCGGCAUUGAAGAGUGCCAUGCCAAAUACAUACCACGCGACGGCGGUGGGGUAUGAUAGGAAUCCUCUGUCGACACACCCUAACUGUGAUGCAUGUCAUCGGGAGGUUUGAAAGCGAGAAGUUCAACACACUUCCCGCAUAUACAUGUUGAGGAGAUGGACUAGAGGAGCCAAAAUUCGGUUUCAUGACAUAGUUAUUACGCGGCUCCUCUCUCAGGAUGGUGAGGAUGGUGAAAGACUUGCUGAAGUUUGUUUCUAUGAUUAGGGUUGUUUAUAGGGUCGAUCAGUUUCAUAAUAUGUUGGAUGUUGUGGUAGAUGGGUUGGCCAUUCAGGUAUGCAGUAAUCAAAGUAUACUUAUUUGUUAUAUUCACCGUACAUGACUUGUAUAUGGUCAUAAUAUACCUAUUAUGAUAGUGGUAUUUCUGUAGGUUGAACAAGCAUUGACCUUGUAUGAUGGACAACAGCCAAGGGAAACUGUGGUGGCAGAUAGAGAUACCACCAGCGUUGCAGUCGCUACGUGUUGUAGUAGUGUGAUCAGGAGAGAGAUUGCAACGAAGUACACCCCGCAGAGCAGACCAAGUAAGAACAACCAGCGUGGGAAACAUAUCACAGAUACGGUCGCAUGAGGCAGUGUAACAAGUUUAGGAAGAUUCGUGCAAAGGAAGUUCAAUCCGAACAAGCAGUCGCAAUGGACGUGGAAAUGGAGGACUUACUCAAUAAUGAUGUUAUACAUCAGUGCAUCGCAUUUUUGCAGGCACAGGAGAGCACCACUGCUACUGGCAACCCCCCUCGAUUGAGAGUGGCCCUUGAUAGGGUAAUCGUUAAUUAUUUAAUGGUCAUUAUGGAGAAAAGCCUACCUGUAACGCUAGCAGAACUGUAGCAUUAUAUAUGUACACUAGUCACGUAGUUAUGUAAGAACAUUGCCAUAUUAUGGGUAGAUCAGUGACAUAUUUUUGGUAAAACAGUACCAUAUUUUGGUAGCACAGUCUUGUAGUGUUGGAAGAAUAGUGGCAUAUUUUGGGAUGUAGAAGAAGACACAUUGUUCGGAAUUAUAAUAUUAUAUGUGGUGCUAGUAUUGACAUAUUCUGCUACAAGGAUUACACCAUGUGGUAGGUCCACUUCAAGGAAUACAACAAGGAUACUACUGUUACCCUAAACAAUAGGCAUAACAUCAAUGUACAAUAGCCAUAACAACGUUACACAUACUUUCUUAGGUUCAAACUGCCAACCAUUGUUCUUCAAAUGGAAAAUGUGACCUUCAUCGCCAUGGCACUCAAAUGGAAGGCCGUCUGGAUGCUCUGAUAUGAUAGUGCGAAUGACGUUCCCUGCUUCCUUGAAAUUGACUUUAGCCUUCCAAAAGGUAUCCUUCCACAUUUCAAUCCGACUGACCAAGUCAACGUGGCUGCUCCUUUUGUCUCCAGAGUGAAUGAUACCUUGGUCCACGAGGCUCCCCUAUCAAUGAUUUCCAUGCAUAAUACAAACACCCACUACUGUACUAGUAUCAACCAGAACUGAAAGUAUACAUAUCAUUUUUCAUAUUCAUGCAACCUUACUUUCCAAUCGUGACAUUCUAGUAAGUCUCUUGUAAAGCUCCCCAUACACAUAAACUAUGCUCUUAAAUAGGGCAUAAUUCAGAAACCAUUUAUAACGAAACCGUAAGAGUAACAUGGUACUAGCAUACCAUACACAUAUCCAUAACAUAACAUAGAUAUCUAACUAGGAGGGUUGGUCGAAGUUCCAGCUUCUAUGAGGAGGUCCACUACCCCUUCAAUUAAAAUAUGGGGAUGAAGUCGACUCCAUUGUGAGAGGACCAGGCGACAGAAGUACUUGAGCAUGUCCUUAAUCAUAACGUUCUCCUCAUCCCACCACUUCGUUUGGUCCGUUGUAAAACAACCAAUGUGUUGCCCCAUAAAACGAAGUGCCAUACAGGCCACACCUGUGAAUGUCAGGCUUUUGUGGCGCAGACACCACCCUCAACUUGAAGUCCUUGAUAUCCACGUGAGUGUUAAGAAGAACAAAUGACCUCGCAUAUUGCAUUAUCUGUGUUCUUGUCGGCUUGUUGUAUGGCUUGGUCUCAAAGUCCUUCUUAUAGAUAAGGCUAUUGAGAAUAACUCUUUCCUUUUUCUCCAUGUCCAACCCAAAGACAUAGAAGUGCUUGAAACUAUUUCCCCUUAUGUUGGGAAGAAGACCGAACACACAAAUAUAAUAUAGUAAUCACAUCAGAUUGUAUAUCAACUGCAUACCACAAAUACAAUACAUACAUAUUUCACGGAACUCAAGCCCUGGAGGUACUUCUUAUUUAAGAAAUCCUUGCAAGUUGGUGGGAAUUUAGAUUGAGUUAGUGAAAACUCAAUCUCAUUUUCAACUUUUGUCCUAGCAGGAGUUUGAAGCCAUAACACAGUCUAACUACACACAUAAAAAAUCACACUUACUAACAAGGAAUAGUCAGAUUAUACUCAUAACACAGUUAAAUUGGCAACAUAACAGAGGCAAAUUGUAUUCAUAACACACACAUAACAUAGAAAGACAGUUAAGUAACUUUGACGAUUCAAACAAUACUUGUAGUAAUUGAAAUAAGCCCAUAUAGUCUUUUUAUUGUGUUGUUGUUAGCCAGUAAAUUGUCAUUAUUGAACUGGUUGCAGAAUGCAUCAAUCAGUUUUGAUGUGCACCUGGUUUGAAUAAUAGACGGUCUCCAACUCAAGCUUCAUGACUUCCAUGCCUUUUUUUCCGGAAAGUCGCAUAUAAUGCAGCUGUUGAUAGGAAACAAUACUGCACUAGUUGUAGCCAUAACACAAAUGUAACACAAACGUAACAAAACGUAACACAAAUGUAACACAAAAAUAAAGGAUAUAUAACAUAGUGAGAAAUGAUAUGUACUCCCUUUCAACACUAGAUAUGGCAUAAGUUACUAUCUUGCUCUCAACUAGUGUUAAUUCAUGUUGAAGUCUAUUUGUGAGAACGAUCUUCAUGCUAGUCUUUUGUCGGUAAUAUGCAAUUGGAAUUGGAUUCUCUGAAUCACCUACCAAGUCCACUACAACUUGUCUCCACCCGGAGUUGCCUUUGUCGAUCCACCCACUAACUCCAAGAUGGCUUCUUUUGCGGUCAUUCUGUUGGUCCACUUCAACUUCCUUCUAUUUUCCUUGGCAACCUGCUCCUCUUCCUUUUCCUUUUCGGCUUCAUUAUCUUCAACCUUCUCUUCUUUCUUUUCUUCAUCCCUAUCAUCUGACUUCUCAUCUUACUUUUCGUCUGCAUUUGCAUCCUCCUCACAGUCACUACCAUCACAAUUUUCACCCUUGUUGUCAUCAUCAUCAUCAUCAUCAUAACCAUCGUCAUCUUCCUCCUCAUCUUCACCAUUGUCUUUAUCAUCAUCAUCACCAUCGUUAUUGUCCAUGAAAUCACCGUAGCUCUCGUCUUCAAACUCAUUACGAAACUCCACGUCAACAACUCCCUUGCCCUUCCCUAGUAAUAGGUUCUGGACAGACGCACUCCUAUCCAGUCACAACUAUAAUUAGCAAGGCAGUUGUCCUGCAUUGCACCUCGAUCGUCGCAACCUCUGCUAACAAUGUUUGCUGCAAUCAUGGUAUGAAGAUGCCUUCAGAUUAACCCAUAUACGAGAUAUAUAACACUUAGGUAAUUCAAAUAUACCACCAUCAGAACAGUACAAUAGUCGUGAAAAGCAGUUCACUGGCACAUAACAGAACAACAACAUAUCUUACGUUUAACGUCCAUAGAACAUUGUAAUAACACCCAUGGAUCAGUUACCUGUUAUGAAGAUGCAAGUUGUACUAUCGCCGUCUACUUGUCCAUUCUAGGGUUCGUUAAUCAUGUUCCCCUAUGCUGAUGCACAUUCACCCCAAAGGUAAGGAAAUCUAGCUCGAGACUUUGUCGAAAAUGUCUUGAGCCUAAGUGGGAGUAAUAGGUUUCAAGCCAGCUACAAGAGACGCCCUCUCACUCAACAUGAAUGACCAGCUGCCGUUAGGAGUACUUAUCCUUCUCAUCAUUUUGAUGACAACAUCGCAUCUUAGUAGGAACAAGUGGGAUGCUCUUUCGGAUCGAUACCAGAAAGAUCAACCAUGUCCAGAAAAUGCAGCUGACACAAACAACCGAGGAUAUCAAGAUUAGACAAUCAACCAACAGUAGUCUGCAUCAACAUAAGAACACUGUACAACUAUUAUAACACAACGAUAGCAUAAAUAUAAUAGCAAUAUAACUUAACAGUAACACUUACCACCAUGAAGUUCAUGUCCCUGCUGGGAUAGGACGCCUUCUGAUUCUUAUAGUAGUCCUCCAGACCUCUUAGCAGAUGAUUUGAGACGUCAGCCGCCCAAUUAGGAUUAGCAAUCUCAAAGUUGUGAAGGUGAAGAUACUUGGAAAACUUCAUUAUAACCCACCGGGUAUUUGUUGGAACAAGCAACGACUCAAGGGCAAGCAACAUGUACAACUUUGUAUAAGCCGUGGGAUCUUUACAAUUCUUCAUUGCAGCUUGGAGUUGAACUAUGUUGAUGUGAUUGUACUUAUUGCUCUUUGUACCGGUCACCCUUUCAAACUGCUUCAAUACCCUUAGCCCGAAAUGUUGGACAUCCACGUCGGCUAGACUUGUAUACAAGGGCAGACCAUAUACAUGGUGCACGACCUCUGACGUUACGCCCAACAGCUGACCAUCCGGGAACUUGAAAAGACCAAGUUCAGGAACAAAGGAUUGGAGGAGGAAUUGAGGAACCUCCUUAUUAAUCAUCUCUAGUUGUAGAUACAACAACCCAUAGAAGCCAGCGUCAUUGAGACAUAGACAGAUGUUAGUACGAUGCGGGUGGUCGUUUUCAAGUAGAUCAUUGGCAGCCACCAACUGUCCAAUUUUGCAACAGAAUGGCUUGCCAUUUCCCUUCUUUUUCUUCAAGCCAAUCUCCCCUAGGGGGCCCUUCUUUACAAUUGGUUGCUUUGUGGCAACUGCCUUUUCGUUAGCACAACCCUUCUUUGUCGGAUUAGUUUUGGCCACCAGACAAUCAAAUAACAUACUCAUAUUCAUAAUGUACCAAUGUCAUUAUGAUUCUCAUAACAACAAGACCAAACAAAGAUCGACAAUCAUACACAGGUACGUGAUCAUAUCAUAGUAAUAUCAUAUACGUAACAUAGGCAUUACGUAAUACUAAGAAAUACAAAUAGAUACACAAUCAUAUCAUAGACAUAAGAUAGGAAUAACAUAGGCAUCUAAUAUGCAUAACAACCAUAAACAGAAAGAUAAAUUGUAUUACACACAUAACAUAGGAACUUCAUACUAGUAAGUAGCAUAAACAAAAUAACAAUCAUAUCAUAGACAUAACGUAUGCACUUCAAAAUUGUAACAAACAUAGGCGGUCCUCAAAUCUCCCUUUUCUUGGGGGUUAACAGACACUAAUGGUGUUUUGUAGUUAGAGUCAGACUCCAAGCUCUAAAAGGAGGACGAUUCUUUCCGUUUCUGUUUCCACUUUUUGUUGCAUGAACCUUUCUGUACCCCACGUUGAGAUUACUGUAGCUCUGUGAGCCAUUUUAAAGAUUGAUGAGGGGAGAUGAGAACUCCUUUGUUAGUCUUCUCUAUAGGAAACUACGAGAAAGGAGGAAAACUUAUUAGAGCCUUAUAAAAUACCCUAAAAACCAAUCAUAUAUAUACGAAGCCUUAAGGAAGGUACAACAUAAAAAAAAAGUUAUCAGGUUUGGUGGUUCUAACCGUCAAUGUAUAGGUGGAUGAGGAUGAAUGUAACUGCUUUGGUGGAUGAGGACGAAGGUAACUACAACUUCACCAAGAGAGAGGCCUACAAACCUGAAGCCACCUUCAAAACUUCCACCCAGUACUUUGGAUCUACUGGCGGAUGAAUUUGAUUCCUCCAUGCAACGGCUUCACCGUCGCCGGUGAGAGGAGAGAGAUUAACAGGAAGAGGGAGACACUGAUGUUGAAGAAAGAGAUGGAGAGAAUGAAGAAAGAGAUGGAAAAGAGGGAGAGAAUGAAGAAAGUGAUGUGAAAGAGGGGUGACAGAAUAGUGAUAUGACCGGUCUGACACAAGGAUUGAAAAAAAUCGCAAAACAUUUUCAAUUUCCCAUUCUCGAUAAUGAAAUUCGAAUCUACGGAUGAAAAAAAGAAUUGAAUAUUAAAUAUAAAUAAAUAAAUUCUCGUUCCCAACCCCUAGAAGAAAGAUAGCCGUCUGAUCGAAGUCAACGAGGAGACGGAUUCCCAGUCGUCAGAUCAAGCUGUCUAGCCGUACAACUUGACUUUCCAUGCCAAUCAUUAACAUUUUUGCCCAACCGAGGCACCCUGUUUGUCUCCAGUUUGAUGAGUUCUUGCCGGUGAACCAAUCAACAAUGAAGAAGCUCCGAUGGAGGGCCCAUAAACUCACUAACAACUAGGUAAGGAUCAUGAAUGUUUUCAUAAGCUUAAUUUAAUAUUUUCUUAAGCUUAACCAGAUCUAUACAACCCUCCAUUGCCAGAUUCAAGUUUCGCCAGAGCCGCCGCCGUCUCUAUUUCUCAAUUUAAUCUCCUUUAUUUUGAAACCAGGUGAGGAGAGUUUCCCCUAAGUUAAUUUGGGGCUUCACAAUGGUUUGAAGUGGGAUUGAUCUCACCUGAGUUGACCUCCAGAACCCGAAUUUUGGAAUAUGGGUUUCGGCUCAUCGGGGAAGACGACUGGAAAACAUGUCAUGACGGUGCCUGAAGUUCCAGUGAUUUCAAUUCAGUCAUUGGACUUCUUGAGGCCAGAUCCGGUCACCUAAAUUUCCUAGAUGGCAAGCGUAAAACAAUACUUUAAAAUGUUAACAAAUUGCUUAAUAACGAGACCUAUAUAUCUGUUGUGACUCUAAACUUUAGGAUUAUGACAUUUGACCCAAAUACAUAAAAGAUAUUUAAGUGUUGAGGGUUAACCCUAAUUGAUCUUGAUAUGCUAUUCAAGGACAUUAAGGAUAAAUACAGGAUUUCUGAACUCGUAAAAGGAUUAAGGAAAAUGGAUUCUUUCGUUAUAAGGGAUCAUUAGUAAAAAGUAAUCAUGAUUUUGGAAAAGCCUAGUUUUUCCUUAUCACUUUAACAAUGGAGAUAAACUACAGAUACUUUGAGUCAUCACUCAGAUCUUUUUAUUUCAAAUCAACUCUGAGCCUAAUACCUAAAUUCCCGUAAUCAGGUUCUCAGAGUCGAAACCACUUUCAAGCGUGGAUCUCGACCUUUUUUUUGGGACCCUCACCACUUCACUUUUCUAGGCAAGUGGUUUAAGGGGGUAAAUUCUUACGUUGCUGUGUUUAGGAAUGAACCUAGAAUUAAAUGAUUACUUGAUCUAUUUGUUACUAUGUGUUUU
rnacentral:lncRNA from 1 species